AUUAUCAUGAAGCAUCCAUUCUUUUUCGUUCUUUUUCUUCUUCUUCCUCUUCUUUUUUUUUUUUUUUUUUGAGAAGCCAGGAUCCCAAGGCACCAAGUGAAAGACUGGUUGGCAAAAAUCCAUUUGAACUGUGAUGUCUCAUGGUGAAUUAAAGAUGGAUGCAAAGUUGCUGGCAUUCCUUCCAUCAAGAGGAAUCUAUAUCUACACGAUCUUUGACCAGUAGAAUACAAUGGCAGUGAUGGGUACCAAUUUUCUGAAUCUUGAGACACCUCUCUGGGAACUCUGGGAUGCUGUGGAUGAACUCCAACUACCCUGAAGCCAUGUCUUCUGGACAGGGAGAGUACAACGAGUCAGGAGGGCAAUGCUUCAUUCCCACAUCACAGGAGACAGGAUGAACAGUCAGGCAGAGAGAGAGAGAGCAUGGCAGCUAGAAGCAUAUAAAUGUGACUGUUGAACAACAUGGAUUUGAACUUCAAGGUUCCACUUAUACACAGAUUUUCUUCCAUUUAUGCCACCCCUGAGACAGCAAGAUCAACCCCCUCUUCCUCCUCCUCAGCCUACUCAACAGGAAGUUGGCUAGGAUGAAGACCUUUAUGUUAAUCCACUUCCACUUAAAGACUAGUAAAUGUUUUUCUCCUUCUUAUAAAUUUUCUUAAUAAUGCUUUCUUUUCUCUAGCUUACUUUCAAAGAAUAAAGUAUAUGAUACAUAUAAUAUACAAAAUAUGUGUUAAUUUACUGUUAAUAUUUGUUAUCUGUAAGGCUUCUGGUCAACAGUAGACUAUUAGCUUUAAGUUUUGG
rnacentral:lncRNA from 10 species